UACAAUGUUUUGACUCUUCGUCUUAUUUGAAUUUUUUUACGAUUAAUACUUUUAUUGUUACUAGAUGAUAAAAUAUAAAUAAUACUUUAUGCGUGGCUAAUUUUUAAGCUUUUUAUAAAAUUUCAAAUAAGACAAAUGAUUAAAACAUUGGGCAUGGAAAGAAAUG
rnacentral:pre_miRNA from 1 species